AAAAAGUUUCUCUUCAACUCCACGCAUAAAUCUUUCGCCUAUUACUAAAGAUGUCUAGCUGUAUAGAGGAACACUCUAAUGAGUCUAUAGACAUUUUUGCAGCCCUGCCAUCGCAGGGU